CCUACGGGAGGCAGCAGUGGGGAAUAUUGGACAAUGGGCGCAAGCCUGAUCCAGCAAUGCCGCGUGAGUGAUGAAGGCCUUAGGGUCGUAAAGCUCUUUUACCAGGGAUGAUAAUGACAGUACCUGGAGAAUAAGCUCCGGCUAACUCCGUGCCAGCAGCCGCGGUAAUACGGAGGGAGCUAGCGUUGUUCGGAAUUACUGGGCGUAAAGCGCACGUAGGCGGCUACACAAGUCAGAGGUGAAAGCCCGGGGCUCAACCCCGGAACUGCCUUUGAAACUAGGUGGCUAGAAUCUUGGAGAGGUCAGUGGAAUUCCGAGUGUAGAGGUGAAAUUCGUAGAUAUUCGGAAGAACACCAGUGGCGAAGGCGACUGACUGGACAAGUAUUGACGCUGAGGUGCGAAAGCGUGGGGAGCAAACAGGAUUAGAUACCCCAGUAGUC
rnacentral:rRNA from 1 species